rnacentral:lncRNA from 1 species
UUUGAUUCUUUUAACUAGACUAGAUUUGGUUACAAGAUCUAUUGAGUUUUUCUUUUCAAUUAUAAAAAUUUCUUGAUUUUGUGUCUUUGUUCGAUUAAUAAAUUUGAGAUAAAAUGUAAAAUAAGUUUUGAGGAUUGUAUUCUAACAGAAAUUAUCAUAACUAUUCUGUCACGGCCCAAAAUAGGAUCAUGACCAGCGCUAAGGAGUUUAGGACUCCAAAGCAAGCCUUGUCAGAAAUCUAUAGAAAAUUGGAUAGAGUUUUCGAUGUUAUGGGGCCUAACAAGAAAAUUCUCUACCUCAAAUUCAACAACAAAACAACCAACAGUACAACCACCACAUAAACACCAACACAAUUCACUAAUCAAGUAUGUUGAUUAUGAUUUUGCAGGAGCCCAUGAUAAAAGGAGAUCCCUUACAGGCUAUGUUUUCACUAUUGGUUGUUGUGCUAUCUUUUGGAAAGCUACCAUACAGACUAGGGUUGCUUUGUUAACUACUGAGGCAGAGUACAUGGCUAUUACAAAAGCUUUCAAGGAAGCUAUUUGGUUGAAUGGUCUGUUCGGUGAACUUAGCAAAGACUUAUAGAUUACUACGCUCUUUUGCGACAGUCAGAGUUCUAUCUUCCGUACAAAAAAUGAGAUGUUUCACGAGAGGACAAAGCACAUCGAUGUUUGGUAUCAUUUUAUGCGUGAAAUUAUUUCUCGUGUUGAUAUUUUGGUGAGAAAGAUUAGUACCCAUGAUAUCCCUGCAUAUAUGAUGACUAAGACACUACCAUGUAUCAAGUUUGAGAAUUGCUUGGACUUGGUUUGUGUUAGCUGUUAUGAUGUGCCCUUAGGGGCUUUUUGUGGAAGAGAUGGAGUGUUUUUCUUAAAAUGUAUUUGAGUUCUCAAUUAUAAUUCAUGUCAAGGUGGAGAUUGUUAGAGUUGUGACCUGAAUUUUGUUGGUUCGGCCCUGAAAGUUUCGCGGUGCGACUUAUGUUUAUGAUUUUCAAUGGGGUCUUUGGUGAAAACGUAGAGAUAAGGCCUACGACCUAUUUGCAAGCACGUACUAUAUAAGUGUGAUUUAGUGGGUUAUUUUCGUUAGUCUGAAAAUUCAGCCUUCUCCACAUGGUACUCUCUCUCUCUAUUAUAAUGAAUCCUUCUCUGCUUUUGCCCGUGGUUUUUUUCAAAAAGCGUUUCAUGUAAAUUUGUGUGUUUUUCUUAUUUUCUUUUACUUCUUGUUUGCUUAUUCUGUCCGAAUCAUAACAUGCACAAUUGUAAUCAUAAGUAUAUUGUCAUUUAAGUGAUUUGUAAUCAAGUUAAGUGUUUCAUCAUAUACAGGUAUCACUUACGUACUGGCCCAAUAACUUUGGACAAUGGACAACCACAAUUAAAAACUCAAUUUAAAGGAGAAGAAAGGAAUUCUACUAUACCCAAAUUAUAUUUACUAGAUUGUAUUAACCUUUUAUUUCAAGUAGUGUUAAGAAUAGAAUAGAACACAAAUAGUUUGUUGAAAUCGUAAUGUUCAAAUUAGGGGAAAAGAAGCAAAAGAAAAUGGAGAGAGUAUAAAUUCAAAAAAAGCAUCAAAAGUGAAGUUUUUUUUAACUUAUAUCCUGAAAUCAAAAGAAAGAGAAAUAUAGAAAACUAUAAUCUUCAAUAUGCAAGACAGGUAUGUCUCUGUCGUCAAUUUUUAAUUAUUAUUAUGAUUAAUCUUCAGUUUUUAGUGUCCAUAUUUUGUAUAUUUUUUAAAUUUUGUGUUGGGAUUUCUCUUCAUUCUCAAUGAUUUCUAAUGAAAGACUACUCAAUUCUUCUAGAAGAGGAUUGCACUCUUUGAUUCUUUUAACUAGACUAGAUUUGGUUACAAGAUCUAUUGAGUUUUUCUUUUCAAUUAUAAAAAUUUCUUGAUUUUGUGUCUUUGUUCGAUUAAUAAAUUUGAGAUAAAAUGUAAAAUAAGUUUUGAGGAUUGUAUUCUAACAGAAAUUAUCAUAACUAUUCUGUCACGGCCCAAAAUAGGAUCAUGACCAGCGCUAAGGAGUUUAGGACUCCAAAGCAAGCCUUGUCAGAAAUCUAUAGAAAAUUGGAUAGAGUUUUCGAUGUUAUGGGGCCUAACAAGAAAAUUCUCUACCUCAAAUUCAACAACAAAACAACCAACAGUACAACCACCACAUAAACACCAACACAAUUCACCAUAGAACAUCAACACUUCACCAAUACCACCAACUAACAAUACGAAAAUCAACUACAAAGAUGAGAGAAAAUACAAGAUUCCACAAAUCCUAAACAACGAAAGAGUACUCAAACUCUAAAGACAUUACUAUGGAGCAAACGAAGAGUUUUCAAGAAAAAGAAACAUCACAAAUAAAUAAACUAUAGCCCACAUGGAUAAUUUAUGUCACUCGGAUCCUUUAGCCAACUCGAUUCUCACCGUCACCUGUGUUCUCUGCAAAAAAUAAUAGCGAGGAGUGAAUUGCUAGCCCAAUGAGUAAUAAUACUUUACCACAAUUAUUUUAAAAAUGGGGACAAAUCAUAAAACAUCAUGAAAUAAUGCUCUUUCACAAAAAAGUAACGAUAAACAAUAUCGUUCUUUCAUGUAAGCCAAGUGAACCAAUAGUUCAGUAAUAAAAUUUAAAAACAUGGUAUCAUAUCAAAUAUUACAUAUUUGGGAGGUUUCAAAGAAUGAAUCUUAUAAUCAAUGUGACUUUCUUCUUCAUUAAGAAUAACCCAUAACAGUGGAUCCCUCAUAAAGGAGUCAAAUCAUAUCAGUAUCAGUACGCUAGUUCUACCUUCCCACUAGCGAGGGCUAUAAAAUUCAUCAGUAAAUAUAAGGUGCACCAGGUUUAACGAUCCCGCCGUUAGCUACGGGAUUCAAAUCAAGGUCUACUCCCAUUUAUAAAUUCUUUGUAAAUAAUAGGCUAUUCAUGUGAAAGCAUUUUUCAGAAUAAUACAUAUCAUUUAAAGUUCAUAUCAAAUCAUAUUAGAUAUAAACUUGAAUAAAAAUACAUGUCAAAAAUACAUAUUUCUCAUGUAAGUGAAAAUAUUCACCGUAAUAAUACCAUAUCUCAAAUAACCAUUUUAAUAUCAUAUCAAGAUCAUAUCUCAAAUAACCAUUUCAAUAUCAUAUCAAGAUUAUAUCUCAAUAACCAUUUCAAUAUCAUAUCAAGAUCAUAUCUCAAAUAAUCAUUUCAAUAUCAUAUCAAGAACGUAUCUCAAAUAACCUUUUCAAUAUCAUAUCAAGUUCAUAUCUCAAAUAAUCAUUUCAAUAUUAUAUGAAGAUCAUAUCUCAAAUAACCUUUUCAAUAUCUUAUCAAGUUCAUAUCUCAAAUAAUCAUUUCAAUAUUAUAUCGAAUAAGGACUUUCCCCACAUGCAUUUCAAAGUAUUUCAUAACUCAUUGUUUUUAUCAAAAAUAUGUAUAAAUAUGCAAUUUAAUAAACACAAAUUGUGGUAAGAUUACUAUUCACAAUACAAUUUCUGGAAUACCAACUAGUCACUUUGAACAAUUUAUAGGACUCCCUUCGAUCGAAUCUAAAAUCAUAUCAUAUCAAUAUCAAGUUAAUUCUCUUGUUUAGGCAAUUUUCAAGAUAAAAUUAGACUACCCAACCCUCAAAGUUUCAUGAUAGCCUUCAGUUUCUCAAACUUCAUGCCCAAAAUCACACCUUAAAAUGCUUAAUCUCUUGUCUUUGAUAAUUAAAUUCUAUUACCCAAAAUAAAUUACCUAAACUAGAAAUCACAAUAAAGAUAUAGAAAAAAGAUUACCUUAAAACCCAAAGAAUUUUCCGAUCAACUUCUUUUUUGUUUUCCACUGGACGAACAAUUGCUUGCUAGAUUUUUUCUUUCUUUUCUGCUUUGAACCUUGUUAGGCAGAAGUAUGCCUUUUCUAUCUAUUGUUGUCUCCUUAAGGUACUGGGCAUAUAAGCCCUUAUAUCAAAUAUAUAUAACACUCUCAUUUCAGCAUAUAGUGAAAGGUGGGUCAUGCCCACUUCCCU